GAUGAACGCUGGCGGCGUGCCUAAUACAUGCAAGUCGAGCGAACGGACGAGAAGCUUGCUUCUCUGAUGUUAGCGGCGGACGGGUGAGUAACACGUGGAUAACCUACCUAUAAGACUGGGAUAACUUCGGGAAACCGGAGCUAAUACCGGAUAAUAUUUUGAACCGCAUGGUUCAAAAGUGAAAGACGGUCUUGCUGUCACUGAUAGAUGGAUCCGCGCUGCAUUAGCUAGUUGGUAAGGUAACGGCUUACCAAGGCAACGAUGCAUAGCCGACCUGAGAGGAUGAUCAGCCACACUGGAACUGAGACACGGUCCAGACUCCUACGGGAGGCAGCAGUAGGGAAUCUUCCGCAAUGGGCGAAAGCCUGACGGAGCAACGCCGCGUGAGUGAUGAAGGUCUUCGGAUCGUAAAACUCUGUUAUUAGGGAAGAACAUAUGUGUAAGUAACUGUGCACAUCUUGACGGUACCUAAUCAGAAAGCCACGGCUAACUACGUG
rnacentral:rRNA from 1 species